AGCUUGGAGCAUUUUUUGGCAUUCUGUUUGGAGCUUUGGGGCUCUUGCUGAUAGUAUCCUUGCCUGUUAUCUGGAAAUACAAAUCAUCUAAAAAGGAAAGACUCAUAAAUGAGAAUGACAGCACUGCAAGUGGUGAAAAUUAUGGAAGAUAUUAUUCACAACCGAAUGUAUGGUAAACAAACAACAGAAAAUUCUACACCCAGUACUGUAUUCUGUAAUUCCAUGAUCCUACACACAACGGAACACUGUUGAAAGUUAUGA